AAUAGAUACCCAGGUAGUCCACGCCGUAAACGAUGAGUGCUAAGUGUUAGAGGGUUUCCGCCCUUUAGUGCUGCAGCUAACGCAUUAAGCACUCCGCCUGGGGAGUACGGUCGCAAGACUGAAACUCAAAGGAAUUGACGGGGGCCCGCACAAGCGGUGGAGUAUGUGGUUUAAUUCGAAGCAACGCGAAGAACCUUACCAGGUCUUGACAUCCUCUGACAACUCUAGAGAUAGAGCGUUCCCCUUCGGGGGACAGAGUGACAGGUGGUGCAUGGUUGUCGUCAGCUCGUGUCGUGAGAUGUUGGGUUAAGUCCCGCAACGAGCGCAACCCUUGAUCUUAGUUGCCAGCAUUUAGUUGGGCACUCUAAGGUGACUGCCGGUGACAAACCGGAGGAAGGUGGGGAUGACGUCAAAUCAUCAUGCCCCUUAUGACCUGGGCUACACACGUGCUACAAUGGAUGGUACAAAGGGCUGCAAGACCGCGAGGUCAAGCCAAUCCCAUAAAACCACUCUCAGUUCGGA
rnacentral:rRNA from 1 species